rnacentral:lncRNA from 1 species
AAAAUAGUAAGACUGCCAUCUCAUAAAUAAAUAAAAUAAAAUAAAAAAAAACGAACUCUGCCACUUUUUAGUUUCAUUAUGCAAAUAACUUAACAUCUUUAUGUUUCAUCUUUGUAAAAUGAGGAUUAAAAUACCUCCUUCCCAACAUUGUGAGAAUUGAAUGAGGAAUAAUUGGAAAAUUUAUCAUCACUGAUACAUAUGUGCAAAGAAUAUGAAUAUGGAGUCUGAUGGAUCUGUGUUUGU